UACGUAGGUGUCAAGCGUUGUCCGGAUUUAUUGGGCGUAAAGCGCCCGCAGGCGGCUUGCCAAGUUCGAAGUGAAAUCUCCCGGCUUAACUGGGAGGGUGCUCCGAAAACUGGCAGGCUUGAGGCAGGGAGAGGGAUGUGGAAUUCCAGGUGUAGUGGUGAAAUGCGUAGAGAUCUGGAGGAACACCAGUGGCGAAGGCGGCAUCCUGGCCCUGACCUGACGCUGAGGGGCGAAAGCGUGGGGAGCAAACCGG
rnacentral:rRNA from 1 species